rnacentral:tRNA from 1 species
GGUCUCUUAGUUUAACGGUAAAACCAUAGGUCUUCAUUCUAUUAUUAAAGGUUCGAUUCCUUUAGAGAUCA